CACAUUUAAAUUUUUUAAAGACACAUUUUUUAAAUUGAUAUGACUUCGACCACUACUAAAGACCUACCCCGUGGUGGAAAGCAGACAUUCAAACCUAAAUUUAAGAGUGAUAAAAAUCAUAAACAGAUUAAAAAGAAUCGGAUUAAAAGACAUGUAGAAAAUAUCGAAAUAAAUACUAGGAUGUUUGGCCAUUUUGAUAAAAUUAACUUCAAUACCCUUACACCUGAAAUGAAAUUUUUGGGGAUUAUUAAAGCUAUUCAUGAUUAUGAAAUGAAAAUAUCACUGCCAG